UAUGAGUGAUGAUGUAAAACCCAACCAGAAGUCUCACUGUGUCUCCUCUACUGAGUCGGACAUAAAUGAUGUUUUAAAGGGAGGGGAGUAAAGAAGGAGGAGCAGUGAAACAAUCCUCUUUUUAACCGUUGUGCUCGUUUCAUUUCAGAUGCAUACUCGAGCUGAGUCCGUUUUUGUGUUGUAUCAAGUAUCUGACUGUAUAAAGCAGCAGUUAAACUGAGGACAUAAUGACCACAGGCUUGCUUCUUCUUCUCCUGGUGCUUUCUGGUUCUCAGGCAUCCCAUUACUUUGGGACAGUGAUGACCUUUACCCCUAAAGAAAGCACGGAUGAUGGAUCUCUAAGGGUGGUCUUUGACUACAAGUUGAGCUUUCGCUCAUGCACAGAUGAAGACAAGUGGAAAUGUGCCAGCGGUGACUGUGGUAGUGAGAGUGUGGAGCUGAACAUCGUGGAUGAAGAGGACAGAGAGUGGUGUCAGAGGGAAGGAGUCAUGACUCGGGAGGUUUCCAGCAACUCUCUGUUUCAGCUAAGAGUUCCUUCAAACUGUAAGAGAGAAUUCAGCCUGUUGGCCUUUGAUCCUGAUGGAGACGAGGUUCAAUGCAGAUAUGGAGACACAGCAGCAGAUGAGUGUAAUCCUUGUACACCACCAUCUCUUCUAACCAUCACACCAUCUUGCAAACUGACCUUUCAUUCUGCGAGUAGGAGUGAUGAAGGUGCAUAUGCAAUACAGCUCGAGAUGGAGGACUUUCCCAAGCAGACCAUCUUUCUCCAUCAAAGUGAUGAUGUGGAGACAACAAGGACUCCCAGUGAUGCUCUCAGCAAAAUACCAAUCAGAUUUGGUCUAAUAGUGGACCCGCCUGUGCCAUCCUGUUCAGAGGGAGCCUACCUGCCCAAGUUUCUGCCUCCAACCCCCGUCAGUGGGGCUCAGCUGUUGGCCUAUAUUAAUGAAACAUUGAAUAUUACAAUUAUGGCCGAGGCAACCAACACCAUGGUUUCAAAGCUUUUGUUCAGUGGACCACACAGCGUUGUGAAACAUGUUGUAUCACAUGGAGAAUUCAUCCUGACCUGGACACCAUCUGACAGUGAAGAUGAAGAAAACCAUCCCAUCUGCUUCGUACUCCAGGCAGAGUUAAAUACAGCCAAGUAUCACUCUGAGCUACGCUGUGUGAUUGUGAGCAUUCAAAUUAGACCAAUCACCACUCCUCUGCCAACAACUGUUCUGCCUUCAACCACCCCAGAACAUACAACCACUCUUCUGUUCAUAAAUGAAACAGAAGAUCUGAACGAGGUGCUAUAUGAGUCCACAGGAUCAGGUGACGACAGCAUGGGUGCUGGCAAAGUUGUUGGUAUUGUAUUUGGUGUUGGAGCCGUCGCAGCCAUUGUUGGCAUUGCCUUGUGGGCUUUAAAUCGAAGUUCUCCUGUGCUCUAAAAAAGUUGGAGCUUUGGAUGAAGAUGGGGAAAACAAACCUGUAGAAUCUGGAAAUCACUGGUCUUCUAGCUACUUUCAGCUGCUCGCUUCUUGCGUCCCAUUCCAAUUUCUACAAAUGUAAAUGUUAAAUAAUGCAGGUCUGCAUUUUACUGUCAAAGCCUCACAUAAAUGGUCAAUGAACUGUUUUGAGUCUUUGGCUCCAUCUGUUGGUGAAAUGAUGGCAUUAAUGUACAAGGUUGUUCAUUAAAGCUACAGGCAGACUCCCCCAUGCAGGUGACUCUGUUUUAUCAGAGAAAAAUUUAAAUACUGGCAAAAGGAAAUAUCUACAGAGACAACAUGUGAAAGUAAAACAUCAUGCGUGAGAGCUAAAAACCUCAAAAAAUAUGAAAAUUUUCAACCAACAUGGUACAAAAUGUAGUGUUGUAAGAGGGCGGGUAUUUCUCACCACUGUGGUUUUUUCGUUAGUCGAUCUUCGCUGACAACAUUUUUAUGUUGGACAUUCUAAACCAUAAUCCUAAUCCCAAAUUGGCUCACAGUUGUUAAAAAAAAUAAACAAUAAAAAAAUUAUUUUAUUUACGAUACCAGAUACCAGCUCUCCCUCCACUCACCCCUAAUUGAUUGCAGCAAUGGGAAGCCCUCCCAGAGCCUGGAUCUGCUGGAGGUUUCUUCCUGUUAAAAACAUGUUUUUCUUUCCACUUUCACCAAGUGCUUGCUCAUAAGGGGUCAUCUGAUUGUUGGGGUUUAUCUGUAUUAUUGUAGGGUCUCUACCUUACACACCUUGAGGCACCUGUUCUUGUGAUGCUAUAUAAAUAAAAAUGAAUUGAACUGAACAGAAUACCAGAUCAUAUUAGAUGUUUGAAAUGAGGAAAUGAACCAUUUCAUGUUGGCCUUAACAAGAUCUUUCUAUUCCCUGUGUGAACUUCUUUGUCAUUUUUUUGGAUUUGUUAUCGGUAUCUCUUUAAAAAAAAAUACACAGAUAAUUUUGGAUUUUGGAUUCUCAGCUGAUUAACACAUUUACAUGUUAUGGCAACAUUGAUGUCUGUCAGUAUCCUAAGACUCACAGUAGUCCCUGUUGAACUGUUAUCAACAGGAGCUUUUCAUUUAGCAACUCCUUGACUGCAUUUUAUGACAAUGACCUUUGAAUCUAUGUUAUUGGUUUCCUUAUUUAUUCAGUGUUCAGUGC
ensembl:lncRNA